GCUUCGAGGUCGAGUGGCAAGGACAUUUGCCUCUCACCCUGGAAUCCCGGGUUCGAUCCCCGGUCGAGAAGCU